GCCGGGCAUGGUGGCUCAUGCCUGUAAUCCUAGCACUUUGGGAGGCUGAGGUGGGAGGACUGCUUGAGUCCAGGAGUUCAAGACCAGCCUGGGCAACACAGUGAGACCCCAUCUCUA
ensembl:misc_RNA Metazoa_SRP Metazoan signal recognition particle RNA